GUGCCUCGUCAUCACACGCUGACUGUAAUUGCUUUUGAACAGGUCUCUUUCCGAAGCCAAAUGCCACCGCAAAUUCAUCAUUGGACGAUGGUGGCCUUCUUACAUACAUGGGAAAUUUACCCGAUAAUGGCGAGAACAAGUUGUGGUUUCUACCGCCUGUUGUUUGUUUCGUCCACUAUUUUCUCCUCCAUUCAAUAUUGUCAUGUGGCUGUUUAUUGAAAUUUUAAGUCCAGGAGGGUAACUCUUUGCCAUUGAUUUGACAAAUAAAUGUUCAAUGUUGUCUCUGCACAGAGUGAUCGAAGAUGUGGAUGAAUUUCCGUUUCACUGUCACCCAUGUGUUCAUGAGGAUCUGCUAUUCAUAGUUUCCCAUGGUGCACUCCGUUGCUCAGUGCCAACUGUCGAAUCAAAUUGCUUGCAGCUAAAUGGGAGGGUUUCAGUCAUUGUCUGCACUGGGGUGUGGAACUAAUUCAUGCAAACGGACCUUCGAGCAGAAUCAAUCUUGUUUGGACGUUUGCUAAGAAGGAUUUGCAGUCUAAUGAACAUGCAUUUUGCGUACAGCACAGUAUACUUGCUCACUGUUCAUACCUGCCAUUGGCAGCACUAAUAUGUGUGGAACGCUAGCCCUGUUGCCUUGCCUGCAGUGAUAGAGGUAUGGAAAACAUUUUGGAUUGAUGUUAUGUCUUGGUUUUGAAUGUCUUCUGCAUGCAGAUACAAACAGCCUGUGAAUUGUAGAUUAUGCUGAAUAUACUUUUGAAGAGCUAAUUUUUGCAUUUUCUUGUACUACGUCCAUUUGACGUGCUAGUACUACAUAACUGGACUAAUAGACUUGCCUGUAGGCCCCUGAUAGUUUCUUCUGAUAUACGUGCAGCAAUACAGCAAUACAGGUGCUCAGAUGAAAUACCUUUUCAUCUUGACUUGUAUCUUAUUUUGUGUAACUGUGCUUUUGUACGCUUGUGCUUGCUAGUUCCAGCUUAACUGUCUUGGUUUCGAAUGCCUUCUUUUGCAUGCUUACAAUAAACAGCAUCUGCAUUUUAGAUUAUGGUGUAACUGUUAGUUCUCCCAAAUACACAUUGGGAGAAUCUUGCUGGAAAUAACCAUGUUAUAUGAUAAAAUUAUUCUCUGUUGAGUGAAACAGAAGGAAGACAAAUUUCAGUGUAAUUAGAAUGAAUUGUAACGAUUUAGUUGUACUGUGCCAAAGUCGUUAUUCGGUGCUGCAGGGCCAAGUUCUUUCAAUAGAGCUCCAAACCUUUUAGGAACUGGGGCUUUCUGUUCGCCUUCCUUGGCUAGACGCACUUCAGAACUUCUAAUCUGCAUCAAGCUUGAACAUGGUGUUUUCUACUCCAAUUUCUUGGUGCUUGGAAGAAGCAUCUGCUCCCUUAAAGCGUAUGCUUACCACAACUGUUCCUUAACAGGUCUCUUUCUGAAGCCAGUUACACCACGACCCCUUAUACUCUGGACAACGGUGGCCUUACUUGUAGACUUGGGACAUUUGCAGAAAAGUUCUGACUGUGACCGCCCCUGUUGUUUCUUGGGUAAAUUCUCUUCUUCUCCAUUCAGUGUUGAGACGUAACUAUUUAUUCGAUAUUUCUACAUGCAGAAGUAGUCAUUAAUUGGUGAACCUGCCGAGUUCUUCCUGUGCAGUCUAGGUAAGUUCAUGGAAGCAGUGAAUUAAAAUGUACAGUGUUAUGUUGUGUGAGUUCACUCUUGAUCGUUCCCCUUGUACCCUGUCCAACAUUGCCUGGCAUGGUGUGCUAGAUCCUGUAGCAGAAUUUCUGGACGUC